GAUGAACGCUAGCUACAGGCUUAACACAUGCAAGUCGCGGGGCAGCAUUUCCUUAGCUUGCUAAGGAAGAUGGCGACCGGCGCACGGGUGAGUAACGCGUAUCCAACCUUCCCAUGUCCACGGGAUAGCCCGUCGAAAGGCGGAUUAAUACCGUAUGAGGUCACAUGCGGGCAUCUAAUUGUGACGAAAGGUUUAGCGGACAUGGAUGGGGAUGCGUCCGAUUAGCUUGUUGGCGGGGUAACGGCCCACCAAGGCGACGAUCGGUAGGGGUUCUGAGAGGAAGGUCCCCCCACAUUGGAACUGAGACACGGUCCAAACUCCUACGGGAGGCAGCAGUGAGGAAUAUUGGUCAAUGGGCGAGAGCCUGAACCAGCCAAGUAGCGUGCAGGAUGACGGCCCUAUGGGUUGUAAACUGCUUUUAUAAGGGAAUAAAGUGAGCCUCGUGAGGCUUUUUGCAUGUACCUUAUGAAUAAGGACCGGCUAAUUCCGUG
rnacentral:rRNA from 1 species